AACGCACCUUGCGCUCCUUGGUAUUCCGAGGAGCAUGCCUGUUUGAGUGUCAUGUAUUCCUCAGCCCAUCUAGAUUUUUCUGAAUGGAGCUGGUUGUGGAGUUUGCUGGCUUUGUUUAAAAUCAAAGUCUGCUGCUCUUAAAUACAUUAGUGUGAAUAUUCACCAAAUGUUCCCCAGUGUAAUAAUUCAUUUGCACUGCUGGUACUUUGGUAGAUUAUUUGUUCACACUUUCUAAGAAGUCCUUUCAUUUGGACAAUAUUUUUUGCAUUUGACCUCAAAUCAGGUAGGACUACCCGCUGAACUUAA
rnacentral:misc_RNA from 1 species